UACGUAGGGGGCAAGCGUUGUCCGGAAUUAUUGGGCGUAAAGCGCGCGCAGGCGGUUAAUUAAGUUGGGUGUUUAAGCCCGGGGCUCAACCCCGGUUCCGCAUCCAAAACUGGUUGACUUGAGUGUAGGAGAGGAAAGUGGAAUUCCACGUGUAGCGGUGAAAUGCGUAGAGAUGUGGAGGAACACCAGUGGCGAAGGCGACUUUCUGGCCUAUAACUGACGCUGAGGCGCGAAAGCGUGGGGAGCAAACAGG
rnacentral:rRNA from 1 species